UACGUAGGGACCAAGCGUUGUUCGGAUUUACUGGGCGUAAAGGGCGCGUAGGCGGCGAUGUAAGUCACUUGUGAAAUCUCUGAGCUUAACUCAGAACGGCCAAGUGAUACUGCAUUGCUAGAGUGCAGAAAGGGCAAUCGGAAUUCUUGGUGUAGCGGUGAAAUGCGUAGAUAUCAAGAGGAACACCUGAGGCGAAGGCGGGUUGCUUGUCUGACACUGACGCUGAGGCGCGAAAGCCAGGGGAGCAAACGGG
rnacentral:rRNA from 1 species